rnacentral:rRNA from 1 species
GACGAACGCUGGCGGCGUGCUUAACACAUGCAAGUCGAACGGUAAGGCCCUUCGGGGUACACGAGUGGCGAACGGGUGAGUAACACGUGGGUGAUCUGCCCUGCACUUCGGGAUAAGCCUGGGAAACUGGGUCUAAUACCGGAUAGGACCACUGCCUGCAUGGGUGGUGGUGGAAAGCUUUUGCGGUGUGGGAUGGGCCCGCGGCCUAUCAGCUUGUUGGUGGGGUGAUGGCCUACCAAGGCGACGACGGGUAGCCGGCCUGAGAGGGUGACCGGCAACACUGGGCUGGGAUACGGCCCAGACUCCUACGGGAGGCAGCAGUGGGGAAUAUUGCACAAUGGGCGCAAGCCUGAUGCAGCGACGCCGCGUGAGGGAUGACGGCCUUCGGGUUGUAAACCUCUUUCAGCACCGACGAAGCGCAAGUGACGGUAGGUGCAGAAGAAGGACCGGCCAACUACGUGCCAGCAGCCGCCGUAA